rnacentral:lncRNA from 1 species
GGAAUUGACAUACAUACUAAAUUCAGAAAGGUUAACAGGGCUAGUUUUACUCAAGAGAGACUAUUAGCUAUAAUUGGUUAAUUCGGUUGUUAAUACAAUCUUAGAGGAUGUUUGUAAAUAUCUUCGAUAACAUCCCAAUUAACUUGGGAGAGUUUAAAACAAGACCUUGAAAUUUCAAAACUAACAAACGUCAGGUAAAACUGUAAAAAAAAAUGAUAAGUACUAAAGAAAGAAAUUCACAGGGCUUCAGAGGGUCGAAACGAUACAACCUAG